rnacentral:lncRNA from 1 species
GCCUGAGCAGGCCACGGUCUCCCUGGCUUAUUUUUAGGCAAGUGCUUCUCCUGCCAGCUGCCCGCCCUCUGCUCACCCUGGCCCAGAAGCCACACUGGCACUCCUGCCCAGCAGCCAGCCCUGGGGCCACAUUCCCUGGGGCAGUGCCUGGCAGGCGCAGAUGGGCUGCCCCCUCCAUCCUGGGCUUCCAGGCUCAGCAGGGGGAUCCCUGCACCCAGGUGCU